rnacentral:lncRNA from 1 species
UGAUAACUUCUUAGUUUGAUCCUGCCUUUGGGAAAUGCUAGGAUAAUCUCCACUUUCGGGGAAUGCCAACCUUUUUCCUUGGAGCGUCUCACCUCCUGCUGUGGGAUGGCUACUCACACCUGUCGGUGUAUUUUGUUGCCAUGAACAUGACAGGUUAACCUGGGGGUGGAAGCUAAGCUGGUCAGUUGGACUGAUUUUACUUGUUUGAGUGUUUUUAAAUAUGAUGAAGCGAGGUCUGGGUAUUUUAAUUUUGUUUAUUAUUCGGUCUUUUUGGGUUACUUAGUGAGACUACAUACACUCAUCCAAAAACAGCUAGUGUUGUGCCACAUAAAUGCACUGGUACUGGAACAGAAUUAGAUCAAUAAGCAGCGAAGAGAGGAUGACUGAGAUGAACAGGACGGUGGAAGAAAAAUCAGAACUUGCAGCGAUGGGGAGGUCUGGAGCAGUCCCACAUGGCACUGCUGGGAACAGGUGGGUGCACCGUCAAGCUGGAGUCUGAACUUGAUAAAUUGGUGCUCUUGGAAAAGGUGGGUGAGAGUCAUUGUGGAUGUGGAUAGGAGCAAAGUGGUCCUGAGCAGGACGCCAAAACAGAGGAAGCUUCGGAGGACGCUUGUGCCUUCCUGAGAAUGAGGCCACGGAGCACAGCGGGAGCCAGGGGGAGUUUCACAAAGGCUGCUUUUGACUUGGUUUUGCAAUCACCUUUUUACUAGUAGGUUUUAUUUCGUUUGUCUUCUGUUGGGAAUUUAAAUAUUAGGAAAACAAUUUGGGAUUAUCUGUCUAGACUGACCUGUCAGUCCAUCUGAGGCUUGUAUCAUCUUAGAGCUAGCUAUAUAUUAGGUAAGGCUUAAAGGCUAGCUGAAGGGUGACGCUUCCCUCAGCUAGGAGGAGAUGGUUUUUUACAGCAGUGCUGACUCCACAGGAAGCCACCCAGUGUGCUAGGAACGACACUGGAAACACAAAUCUGGAACAGUGGUUUGUUUUUGUUGUUGGGGGUGUUAACAUGUUACCUGAAAAUUGAUAAUCUUUUAAAGAUGUGGCAAUGCCUAAUGGCACCCUCCUGGGUAGCAAGUCCAACGUUGUCCAGGCACUCACCAUUUACAGAACGAAUACUGUAAAACGGUUUUGUGGGCUUG